UUGGGGGGUUGGGAGCUCGCGCUGAGUGCUCGGGCUUGCAAGUGGCAAUAUUUUCUAAUUUGCCCUUGCAAUGCAGGUAACUGGGAAGGUUGAAGAGGCGCUUCCCAUUAUCCACAAACAGGAUGACAAUGACAGUAAUUCUGGAAAAAAGUGCAGGUGCAAAGUCUGAAAUGAAAACAGAGCUGACACCAAGUUAGAAUCAUCAAGGCUGGAAAAGAACCAAGUUCAUCUAGACCAACCUUUGGCCACCAUGUUAACUAAACCAUAGCACUAAGUGCUAUAUCACUUCUCUGGACAGCCAGUUUGAAUGCUUUUUAACCCUUUUAGUCAAUAUAUACUUCCUGGUGAAGAAUUCACCUUCAGUAUCCUUCACCCAGGAUCUCAAAAGUAUCUUAUUUCCCCAAGGCUCACAACAUCUUGUGUGGUACUAUUCCAUUUUAUAGAAGGGUAAACAUAUGCUGGCAACAUGACCAGCAAAGGCACAGAGGACAGUGAACUUCUCUAGCCCUUACACACAGCCCAAGCUGCAGCAAAGCCACCCUGUGCACUGUGCGGACAUGUUACCUGAAGUCAGGUGGGAGACCUUUUCUGGGGAGAGAGGCUUUUCUGGGAGAAGUACUUGCUCUUCUCGUUGUUAUCUGUUCUACUUUGACUCCUUCCCUGUCCCGAUUUGUACCAAGUUGGGGCCAGCACUGAGCACAGUGCCUGCAAAUGGAUUCUGGUCUGCCUGCUUUAAUAUGGCUUUUCAUUGCCUGGGGGAGAUAGAUCCUAGCUUUUAUUCAGAUCCCGGAUAAUCCUGUGAUGCAGAAAGUGAGUGGGCAAAACUGGGAAUGAAAGCCAACGCAUGCCAAUGCUCAGGCCGUUUAUCAUCUGUCUUACAGCAAAGGACAAAAGUGGAGGUAGCGGAUGAAAAAUGAGGAGGGAGCCAAAGUAAACAACUUUAGAGAGGUAGGAGGUGCAUGAAAAGAGAACGGAUCAAUAGCUGCAAUGCCAGGUCAGGCUGACCCAGGGGAAAGUGCUCUCAAGGGACCAUACCCAGAGAAUGCAGAGGUCCAAAACCAGGCCCCACCAUAAUAACAGCCUCAUCAACUUUCAAAGGACAAGAGACUUUUCAGAGUCCUCUAAGGGACCGACCCUCCAUGCAGAGCUGAUUGCAUGAAGUUGCUUGUGAUGCAGACUGCCCGCCCAUCCGUGUUCUUACCAACAGGUAGGUCCAUCAGCUGUCCAAGAGGAGUGGACUAGCAAUGAGAUAAGAAAUUGUUUUGCUCCCAUUGUCAUCAUUAACAGGCUUCUGUUAGACUUUCUUUGUUGAGGAAACGUAAUUAUUGUUAGCACUGUGAAGAAUACUGACUGGGCAAAACUGACUGGCGCUGAAGUCACAUUUAUUGACUUCUCUGACAGAGUCUUUACAGGAGCUUGACAUCAGGCCCAAUUUGUUUCUAAGUGUCCCCAAAAUUGGUAUGCUCGAUCAAUC